rnacentral:lncRNA from 10 species
CACUGUCCUGUGGCCUUCAUUCCUUGGGGAAAACACCACAAUGGUCAUCACCUGAACAAAUGGAGUGGGGAGAUGUGGAAGUGAAAGAAAGGGAACGCUGAAGAAGACAGUAUCAGAGACCCAGUAGCAAUGAAACCUCAAUUGGCACAGAGGAUUUGGGAAGAAGGACCCAGAUUUGAGUAUUUUCAGCUCUAGGUGCUGAAGAUGUUCAUGACCAAAUAGACAUGGUAGUUGAGGGAAAGAGGGUUUUAGGGAGCCCUUCUCCUUGGAAUUCUAGGGAGAAGACAUCUUACUCUUAUUGGAUCAUGCACAGUGCCUGAAGCAUUCUGUUGCAUGUAGAAGUCAGUAAAUUGCAGAUGUAAGAUUCAAAACCAGACUUCACAUCUACCGACUUCAGUGACCCUGAAAUUUGUUCACAGAGAGCAUUUAACAUAACUGUCUUCAUCAUCUCCUUCUCUACAUUAAAAAUUAUGGAGGCCUUACAAACUGGUAGAAGAUGCAUAACAGAAGAGCUUAUGAAGUUAAAGAUGACAGCAUAGCAGCACUGUUCACAAAGACGUUAUUGGUGAUUCAAUCUUGAGUCAUGAAAAGUCAACCUUGAGCCACAAAAAGUCAACCUUGAGCCAAGCAGAUUGGAGAGUCAUACAUGCCAUUCCUGGGACCAUCAAAAAUGGCAGAGGUCACACAAAAAGGCAAAACUUUUAAGAGGUGUUUUAAACGUCGUAUGGGCCAAAGAGAAGCUGGAUUUCCUAUUGGAGUCACCUGUAACACACGUGUGACGAAAUUGGCCUGUGAGGACAAGGCAGUGAGCAGAGAGGACAGCAGUCCUUAUGAGAUCAAGCUCUAAGGUAUCCUAGACACAUUUGGAGAAUUCACCUGAGCUACAGGAUG